UACGGGGGGGGCGAAGCGUUGUUCGGAAUUACUGGGCGUAAAGGGCUCGUAGGCGGCCAACUAAGUCAGACGUGAAAUCCCGUCGGCUUAACCGGGGAACUGCGUCUGAUACUGGAUGGCUUGAGAUUGGGAGAGGGAUGCGGAAUUCCAGGUGUAGCGGUGAAAUGCGUAGAUAUCUGGAGGAACACCGGUGGCGAAGGCGGCAUCCUGGACCAACACUGACGCUGAGUGAGCGAAAGCCAGGGGAGCAAACGGG
rnacentral:rRNA from 1 species